rnacentral:rRNA from 3 species
AAACGACUCUCGGCAACGGAUAUCUCGGGAACGCAAGUUGCGCCCGAAACCUUCUGGUUGAGGGCACGUCU